rnacentral:rRNA from 1 species
CUACGGGGGGCUGCAGUCGAGGAAAUUUUACAAUGCUCGCAAGAGUGAUAAAAUAAGCCAGAGUGUUUCUCCUAGAGAAACUUUUAUCUGUUGUAAAAAGACAGAUGAAUAAGGACUGGGCAAGACCGGUGCCAGCCGCCGCGGUAAUACCGGCGGUCCAAGUCGCAUCCACAAUUAUUGAGUCUAAAACAUCCGUAGCUUGUUUUAUAAGUCUCUUGUGAAAUCCUAUAUCUUAAGUAUAGGGCGUGCAAGAGAUACUGUAUAACUAGAGACUGGAAGACGCAAAGAGUAUGAUUGAGGUAGCGGUGAAAUGUGUUAAUCUCAAUUAGACUAACAAUGGCGAAGGCACUUUGCGAGUACAGAUCUGACAGUGAGGGAUGAAGGCUAGGGGCGCAAAAGGGAUUAGAUACCCGCGUAGUC